rnacentral:lncRNA from 13 species
GCAUCAACUACAGAAGCAGGGAAUAGGCUCCUGUCCUAUGGGUCUUUCUGGCUCGUACAAGGCUUACAUACUUACUUAGGGGUAUCGGGUGCCUUUUGGGAAGUAACUCCUGUAAUAGUGUUUUUUUAUUCUGCUUUACCCCCUGUUUUUCAGGCAGCCACUAAGGUGGUCAAGGCAGGCCAGGAGACAGGGGAGGAUUCUGAGACUCGGGAGGCGUCAUAUACUACCAGCCAAUCUUCUGAACACUCCAAAGUGAAUCAGGAGACCGGUGUUCUUAUGAGACCCAAGAAGAAGAAGCUGCUGUCAACAAGGAAUAUUCAUCCCUGGAAACCAGAGUCUGGCAAGAAGCCUGCACUCACUGUUAUGAGAAAAGGGGUGUCGACGAGGUUGACCUCCCGAAGAGCCUCGUCUGAGACGACCCUGAACACCACGACUCUUAGCAACACAACUCUGAACACCAAUACAACCAGGAAGACUCAUGGCGUAGGUCAACAAGAGCACUGUUUCCCUGAUGGGGGCAAACUUUAGCCAUUUCUCCAAUUAAAUGUUCCAAAAAUAUAUGUAUACAAGUUAUUUAUAUAUAUAUAUAUUUAUUUUAGUUCUGAUGGCAUACAACAGUUGAAUUAAGAUCAUGAGGCAUUUAAGUAUCAAUGGCUAUUGUUCAUUUUUAAAAAGUCCAAAAUGGCUGUACCAACCCCCAGAUUGCCCCUUUUUCUCCCCCGUGUGUAGAGGUGGCCGUGGGAUCUGGACUUGGCGCUGAAGGCGGGAGUGAAGCGUCACGGGGAGGGGAAAUGGUCGCGUAUCCUCCAGGAACACGACUUCCAGGGGCGCACGGGGGUUCAACUCAAAGACCGUUGGAGGGUCCUCAAGAAGGCGCAUAAAGUCAACUCCUCCUAAGGCCCGUGUCUCAAAUGGGAUCUUAUUCACUACGAAGUGCACUACUUUUGACCAGAGCCCUAUGAGACCUCCUGAAUAGGGAAAAAAAGGGUGUGACCUUCGGGACUAAGUUUUUAAAAAUAUUUAUUUACCUUUAUUUAACCAGGCAAGUCAGUUAAGAACAAAUUCUUAUUUUCAAUGAUGGCCUAGGAACAGUGAGUUAAACUGCCUUGUUCAGGGGCAGAACGCUAGAUUUUGUACCUUGUCAGCUCGGGGGUUUGAACUUGCAACCUUCCGGUUACAACGCUCUAACCACUAGGCUACCCUGCUGUCCCAGGUUAGUCCGUUUGUGGAUUCUGGGGUUUAUAUAUACGGUACUCUACUGUUAGUAAUCUUGCCUAGUUUUAAUAAAUAGUGUUCAGGCUCCUUAGUUCUCUUCUUUAAGCUCUGUUUUAAACUUAGUGUAUUAGUACCGCUCACUGUACAGUUUUAUAUAAGGGAUUGUAAAUAGGUUAUGUGUCCUUGUAUUUCCAGAGUUGGUGUGUGUGUGUGUGUGUGAGAGAGUAAGUUUAAGGCUGUGAUUCAAUCCGAGGGAGACGAUGUCCCAUUUGAGUGGAAAUAUGCCCGGGUUUACCAUGACUCUCCAUAAACAAACACGAGAACGUUUUAAAAAAGCUGCAUUGUGUUCAACCUGAAACUGGGUUGAAUCCCGGCCUUUCUUAACACAAGGCUUCAAUGCCAUUAACCGGUAACCACCAGUAGCUGACAUGAUAUUACUACCAGUGACCACCAGUAGCUGGCAUGAUAUUACUACCAGUGACCACCAGUAGCUGGCAUGAUAUUACUACCAGUGACCACCAGUAGCUGGCAUGAUAUUACUACCAGUGACCACCAGUAGCUGGCAUGAUAUUACUACCAGUGACCACCAGUAGCUGGCAUGAUAUUACUACCAGUGACCACCAGUAGCUGGCAUGAUAUUACUACCAGUAACCACCAGUAGCUGGCAUGAUAUUACUACCAGUAACCACCAGUAGCUGGCAUGAUAUUACUACCAGUAACCACCAGUAGCUGGCAUGAUAUUACUACCAGUAACCACCAGUAGCUGGCAUGAUAUUACUACCAGUAACCACCAGUAGCUGGCAUGAUAUUACUACCAGUAACCACCAGUAGCUGGCAUGAUAUUACUACCAGUAACCACCAGUAGCUGGCAUGAUAUUACUACCAGUAACCACCAGUAGCUGGCAUGAUAUUACUACCAGUAACCACCAGUAGCUGGCAUGAUAUUACUACCAGUGACCACCAGUAGCUGGCAUGAUAUUACUACCAGUGACCAGCAGAGGGAGCUAUAUAUCUUUCUGUGGACAAUAGCAGCUUAACUUGUAUUUCAACUUUAGUUUAUUAUUUUUUUACAAAACCAUUUAUCCUUCUAGUUAUCAGUGGCUAAAGAAACAACGAUCUGAACAAAUUGUUCAAUAGAAAUGGAAAAAUUAGUCCAACAUUUAAUAAAAAUGUCUUUGUGUUUAUUUUAUAUAUUUCACAGUGUAUUUAUUUCUGCAAUAGGGACAAUACAAAAUAACAAUUGUGUUAUUGUAAAGUAGUCAUCUCUCAUUUUGGACCGUCAUAUCUUGUCUGUACACAGGAAGGAGAUACUCGAAUGUGUUCGUGAAAUAUUCUGUUAAAUAAAGAUCAUUGAUUUGGUGUGUGAUUUAUUUAUUUUUUGCUGUUUUAAGUACGAAUGUAGCUUGUUGAAGCUUGUGUCUGAAAAGUCGCCGUAUUCCCUACAGAGUGCUCAACUUUUUGAUCAGAGCUCAAAGUGCCCUAGUCUCACCUGGCCAGCCGUCCUAAAAAAAAAAAAAACCUGUCUGGUUCACUGGAGCCACUGUGAGAAGGUUUCUGAGGCUUUCUAGGCUGCUUGCAACUAAACCAACUAUGGGGUAAUACAGGCAGGGUUGGCUUACGUUGUUGACACCCGAGUAAACUAUAUUUCAUCACCAAAUGUUUAUUGAAAACAUAAAUACGGAG